GACGAACGCUGGCGGCGUGCCUAAUACAUGCAAGUAGAACGCACACUUUCUGCCGUGGCUUGCUGCGCCGUGGACGGGGGAUUACUAACGCGUGAGGAACGCAUACGUAAGGUGUCUGUUAGCGGGGGAGAACUUUUUGCAACGCUAGCUAAUACCGUGUAAGCUUGAGUAUUGCAUGCUAAUUGAUUUAAAGAUGCUAGUUCAUCACUACGAUAUGUAGCUGCGUUGUAUUAGCUAGGAGGGGAGGUAACGGGUCACCUAGGCGACGCUACCUAGCCGACCUGAGAGGGUGAUCGGCCAAACUGGGACUGAGACACGGCCCAGACUCCUACGGGAGGCAGCAGUAGGGAAUCUUCGGCAAUGGACGAAAGUCUGACCGAGCAACGCCGCGUGAGUGAAGAAGGUUUUCGGAUCGUAAAGCUCUGUUGUAAGAGAAGAACGGGUGUGAGAGUGGAAAGUUCACACUGUGACGGUAUCUUACCAGAAAGGGACGGCUAACUACGUG
rnacentral:rRNA from 1 species